rnacentral:rRNA from 1 species
GACGAACGCUGGCGGUGUGCUUCACACAUGCAAGUCGAACGAGGUAGCAAUACCUAGUGGCGGACGGGUGAGUAACGCGUGGGAAUCUGCCUUUGGAUGGGGGAUAACGGGUCGAAAGACUCGCUAAUACCGCAUAUGACGAAAGUUGAAAGGAGUAAUCCGUCUAAAGAUGAGCCCGCGUCCGAUUAGCUAGUUGGUAGAGUAAAAGCCUACCAAGGCGACGAUCGGUAGCUGGUCUGAGAGGAUGAUCAGCCACAAUGGGACUGAGACACGGCCCAUACUCCUACGGGAGGCAGCAGUGGGAAUUUUACGCAAUGGGCGAAAGCCUGACGUAGCGACACCGCGUGAGCGAAGAAG